GACGAACGCUGGCGGCGUGCCUAAUACAUGCAAGUAGAACGCUGAAGGAGGAGCUUGCUCUUCUGGAUGAGUUGCGAACGGGCGAGUAACGCGUAGGUAACCUGCCUGGUAGCGGGGGAUAACUAUUGGAAACGAUAGCUAAUACCGCAUAAGAGUAGAUGUUGCAUGACAUUUACUUAAAAGGUGCAAUUGCAUCACUACCAGAUGGACCUGCGUUGUAUUAGCUAGUUGGUGGGGUAACGGCUUACCAAGGCGACGAUACAUAGCCGACCUGAGAGGGGGAUCGGCCACACUGGGACUGAGACACGGCCCAGACUCCUACGGGAGGCAGCAGUAGGGAAUCUUCGGCAAUGGACGGAAGUCUGACCGAGCAACGCCGCGUGAGUGAAGAAGGUUUUCGGAUCGUAAAGCUCUGUUGUAAGAGAAGAACGAGUGUGAGAGUGGAAAGUUCACACUGUGACGGUAUCUUACCAGAAAGGGACGGCUAACUACGUG
rnacentral:rRNA from 1 species